UACGUAGGCAGCAAGCGUUGUUCGGAAUACUGGGCGUAAAGCGUAUGCAGGCGGAUCGUUAAGUCGGGGGUGAAAUCCCGAGGCUCAACCUCGGAACUGCCUUCGAUACUGGCGAUCUUGAGUCCGGGAGAGGUGAGUGGAACUCCGAGUGUAGAGGUGAAAUUCGUAGAUAUUCGGAAGAACACCAGUGGCGAAGGCGGCUCACUGGCCCGGUACUGACGCUGAGAUACGAAAGCGUGGGGAGCAAACAGG
rnacentral:rRNA from 1 species